CGGCGGCGAGCGGCGGACGGCUGAGUAACGCGUGGGAAUCUGCCCCAAAGUGAGGGAUAACUGCCCGAAAGGGUAGCUAAUACCGCAUAUGGUCUUCGGAUUAAAGCAUUUAUGCGCUUUGGGAGGAGCCCGCGUCGGAUUAGGUAGUUGGUAGGGUAAUGGCCUACCAAGCCGACGAUCCGUAGCUGGUCUGAGAGGAUGAUCAGCCAGACUGGGACUGAGACACGGCCCAG
rnacentral:rRNA from 1 species